CAAGCGUUGUCCGGAUUUAUUGGGUUUAAAGGGUGCGUAGGCGGUCCUAUAAGUCAGUGCUGAAAUAUCCCGGCUUAACCGGGAGGGUGGCAUUGAUACUGCAGGACUUGAGUAAAGUUGAGGUUGGCGGAAUUGACGGUGUAGCGGUGAAAUGCUUAGAUAUCGUCAAGAACACCUAUUGCGAAGGCAGCUAACUAAGCUUUAACUGACGCUGAGGCACGAAAGUGUGGGGAUCAAACAGG
rnacentral:rRNA from 1 species